GAAAAGUUCAAAAAGAAAGUAAGGCCAGGGUUGUUCGUGAAGGGAAAGAACGCCGUAGACUGUGGGCUGAAAAGAAAACACCACGCCCAUCUAAAAAGGGUGAAAUUGUCGAAGAUUUAGCAGAACCCCCUAGAGAUAAUGAUCAAAUUAUCAAGUUGGGAAUGCUUCCUAGCAAUAUUGUCCAACUGCUUGUAGACCGUG
rnacentral:misc_RNA from 1 species